rnacentral:rRNA from 1 species
AUACGGAGGAUCCGAGCGUUAUCCGGAUUUAUUGGGUUUAAAGGGAGCGUAGGUGGAUUGUUAAGUCAGUUGUGAAAGUUUGCGGCUCAACCGUAAAAUUGCAGUUGAAACUGGCAGUCUUGAGUACAGUAGAGGUGGGCGGAAUUCGUGGUGUAGCGGGGAAAUGCUUAGAUAUGACGAAGAACACCGAUUGCGUAGGCAGCUGACCAGACCGCAAAUGACGCUCAUGCACGAAAGUGCGGGGAUCGAACAGGAUUAGAUACCCUGGUAGUCCGCACAGUAAACGAUGAAUACUUGUUUUCGGCGAUAUAAUGUCGGAGGCAAAGCGAAAGCGAUAAGUAUUCCACCUGGGGAGUACGCCGGCAACGGUGAAACUCAAAGGAAUUGACGGGG